AGAGUUUGAUCCUGGCUCAGAAUCAACGCUGGCGGCGCGCUUAACACAUGCAAGUCGAGCGAGAAAGCGGGGCAACCCGUGAGUACAGCGGCGUACGGGUGAGUAACACGUGGGUAAUCUACCUCCGAGUGGGGAAUAACCCUGGGAAACCGGGGCUAAUACCGCAUAAGCCUGGGAAGGGAAAGCAGCAAUGCGCUGGGAGAGGAGCCCGCGGCCGAUUAGCUAGUUGGUGAGGUAAGAACUCACCAAGGCGACGAUCGGUAGCCGGCCUGAGAGGGCACACGGCCACACUGGCACUGAAACACGGGCCAGACUCCUACGGGAGGCAGCAGUGGGGAAUCUUGCACAAUGGGGGCAACCCUGAUGCAGCGACGCCGCGUGAGCGAUGAAGCCCUUCGGGGUGUAAAGCUCUUUCGGCAGGGACGAUAAUGACGGUACCUGCAGAAGCAGCUGCGGCUAACUACGUGCCAGCCGCCGCCGU
rnacentral:rRNA from 1 species